AUUGAACGCUGGCGGCAUGCCUUACACAUGCAAGUCGAACGGCAGCACGGGAGCAAUCCUGGUGGCGAGUGGCGAACGGGUGAGUAAUAUAUCGGAACGUGCCCAGUCGUGGGGAUAACGUAGCGAAAGCUACGCUAAUACCGCAUACGAUCUAUGGAUGAAAGCGGGGGAUCGCAAGACCUCGCGCGAUUGGAGCGGCCGAUAUCAGAUUAGGUAGUUGGUGAGGUAAAGGCUCACCAAGCCGACGAUCUGUAGCUGGUCUGAGAGGACGACCAGCCACACUGGGACUGAGACACGGCCCAGACUCCUACGGGAGGCAGCAGUGGGGGAAUUUUUGGACAAUGGGCGCAAGCCUGAUCCAGCAAUGCCGCGUGCAGGAUGAAGGCCUUCGGGUUGUAAACUGCUUUUGUACGGUACGAAACGGUGAGCUCUAAUACAGUUUGCUAAUGACGGUACCGUAAGAAUAAG
rnacentral:rRNA from 1 species